AUACCUUUCUCGGCCUUUUGGCUAAGAUCAAGUGUAGUAUCUGUUCUUAUCAGUUUAAUAUCUGAUACGUGGUCCAUUGGACCACACGAUAUUAACUCUAUUUUUUUAGGGAGAUGGCCCAAUAAAUAAGAUAGCUUGCUAUCUGGACUAUCACGAGUCGCCCAUGCGUUGCACUACUGCACGGGCCUGGCUCAGCCCAU
rfam:Brassica oleracea var. oleracea cultivar TO1000 chromosome C7, whole genome shotgun sequence